rnacentral:lncRNA from 1 species
UUAAUAGUUAUGUACCUGGGUUCCUUUACAGAAGGAAAGAUGAAACACCGUGUGUGUGUGUGUGUGUGUGUGUGUGUGUGUGUGUGUGUGUGUUCUUCCCAGUCAAGGGAGAUGAGCAUCCAGUGUCUUUGGAGGCUAGGUGUGUGAGAGAGAGGAGGAGGGUUCACAGUUCAUACUUAAUGGCCACCAUCCCAAGGAGAAGGCCAGCUAACCACUUGUGCUUUCCUUACUUUCCUUACUUUGACAACUCAAAAGGAAUUUUAAAAAUUAUACAUGAUUCUCCCUCACCUCGAUUUGAGUUAAGCCUUAAGGCCUCACAGUGGAAGGCUUUCCUCUAGGGCUGAUGCAUCGAGCACCCCCAUCCCCGCCCCUCUUCUAUCCCCCCUCCCCCAUCCUUCGAGGUAAGGGUGUGUAGAUCUUUCUUGCCUCGGUGCCAGUGUUAGAGUGACAGAGCGCUGCCUGGCUAUGAGGUCCUGAGCCCUGAGCUGUGUCCUCAGGGCACAGGUGGCUUGGCUUGGCUUUGUUCAGGAGCCGUGUGUGGGAGGUGUGCAUAGAAAUGGAGCCCUCCGUCAGCUGGAUCUCCUGGCAGUUCAGCCACUGGGGUCGGUAGCUGAAGCGGCGGCGCCUGCAACAGCACCCCUGCCCACCCCCUUCACUUUCACUGCUUGGAGAAAUCUCCGUGUUCCUGUAGGCUUUCCCACAACGCCGCUCCCCUUGAUGGCACUGCUUAGGCAUUUGAUAAAUAUUUGUUGCUUUUGGAGCAUCAGGUGUUACCUCAGGGUUUAGGCACUGGGGUGGAGUCUGUCUGGGACCUUUGACGCACAGCCUGGCCUAUCCUUUAAAGGUCCAGGGCCAUCCAGUCCCUCAGCUGAUGCCUGUAUCUGUAGAAUGGGGAUGUGUUUUUUUUUUACUAACCAGUCUCCAUCUAUAUAGGAGCAUAAGCGAGUGGAGCGAAGCUACGGCUGAUUUCAUAGACAUCAUACCAGCGAGACUGUUAUUGUUUGGGCCCUGGGGGCGGGGUGACUAAUUUGCAAAGAGGAAAGGAAUCCAACAGCUGCUUGUAUAGGGUGUUGUUUUUAAUGCGAAGAGGAAGCAUUUGGGGGCUUUGGGGAGAGGCUUACGGCAUACCACAAGGAAACGCCCCUCCCCCACCUCCAUUCACUUCAGAGGCCCUUCUCUGUAGCUCCCCACUUCCAGCUCCUUAUUUUUUGGGAACGUGAAGAGAUUCAUUAUCUUAAUACCUAGUGGUGUUGCUGUUACCCUGACCUGAACACCCCAGAACAUGUCCUCUUCCCCUCCUGAUACUAGGUUCUGGCCGCGGAAGGGUAGGGAGCGAGAUGGGGGUGAGGGUGUGUAUGUGUGUGUGUGGGUAUAGGAUACAGACUUGGGUGAAAUGUAUACAGCAGGCAGCCUUCAAAUGUGUAGUCUUGCUCAAUGCAGGUGAAAAGGAACUCGGAUCUGGCUUUCCUUUCUCUGCCGCCUCAAAGCUCUCAGAAAUUAGCAUCUGUACCCAUUGAGUCCGCAGCUGGUGGCUAUGAAAUGGUACCUUCCUUCACUAGGGAGAAGCCGGUCUCCAGUGGCCUGCAGGGGGCCAAUGUUUUACCUUUUUUUUUUUUUUCUUUCUUCAGUUUUUAUAUUCAAAGAAGCUUGGUUUCUUUUCCCUCUGCCAAUGCUGGGUGACCCGAAUCCAAGUUUUAAUAAUAACCUCUUGCUGGACCCGAAGGCUCCAGGCUAAUUCUGCUCUUUAGGUCUGCUGACCUUGCUGUGCAUCUGAUGUGUUUGUCAGCUUCGGUUUGGGAUGGGGUGAAUGCGUGUGCACCCUCAGAGUUCCUGUUCCACCCGCUGGACUGGAGGUGGGUGGGUGGGGGAUCGCAGAUAGAAGUAGAAGACUAGAUCUGUACCGUACCGGAGGGUAGGCUUGCAGCCAGGCGUGUGGCACCUGUAAUUGAAUCCGGACCUGCGUUCCGUGCAGGCCUGCAAGGAUGCGAAAGGGAGGUAUCGAGGUUCUAGGCUCUCUCUGUGGCUGAAUCUGGCAUGAAACCGUCUUCUGACUCCGUGGAGCCCAAAUGGUGUGUGGAGAAGCCAGGGAGCAGCAGAGAGCCUAGAAGCCCGUGCACGUUCUGUUUGCACGAGUCGGCUCUUGCAUCUUUUGUUAGUGGCGGUUCCUUAAUUAACCCGCGGAUUAGGGCUGCCUUCUUUUGACACGUACAUAUAUUUUGGGGGUAUAAUAUUCUUGUUCUCCUCAAACUCACAACCGGAACCGCUCAGGAGCCUCCCCAGGGAGCUAUGGCCUCUUCUCUCCCUCUUGUCUUCCCAGCUUUUCCCUUCCUGUUCCCCUCCUACCCACCCUUCCCUUCAACCCAAGUGGGCUUGUAGCUGAGUGGAGGACGGGCGUGCUACACACAGCUAAAUAAAUCAUGUUUACGCUUGGCGUUCUUGGUAGUGAAAAAGCUGUUGGCUGUUUCCACUUCCGUAUUUCUCAGCAUUUGCUUCCUACCUGUUUUUGAGUCCGUGCCCAGAAAUAGUAGUUUUGUCAAAUGAGGGGAUAAUGCCAGCCAGCCUUCCCUGCUGCCAAAGAAGCUGAUGGAUUUUGCAAAAACAGAGUGACGUUUUUUUAGUGACACCGAUUUCCCCCCCUGCCCCCUCAAAGAAAUUAGGGUGUAGAAUAAGGGGUAUUUAAAAUGCACAUGGAGCAGGGGAGGGAAGGGGAGGAUUCCUAGCUGCUUCUACUCGGGUUUGUAGCAGGCAAGGUUAGAGAAGGAAGGUCUGGGUUUUUGUUGUUCGAUUCUCUCAGGGCAGCAGGCACCCGUAGGAGGUGUAGAGGCUGUUCUGAGCCCGGAGGAGAGCUGAGUCAAGCUCUUUUCAGUCCCAAGACUUCAUUUUCUCAGAUUUGGAGAUACGGUGCAAUGAAUUUUUUUUUUCUUUCCUUCUGUUCAGUUUUGGGUCUGUUUAGUUCCGGAGGCUUUCAGAAUGGUACUUGCCGAAUUCUUUCUCUGAGGUACCAGUAAGGAAUGUCACCCUGGGCCCGGGGUGGGAGCCUGUCUGCACCCAACUUGACAGUCAGUGGUUCUGUACAGCAUGAGGUACGCAAGCCUCCCGCCUCUGCCUUUAACCCGUGAUGCUGUUUUAGGGGCAUGUGAAAAAGUCACUCUCGUGAUGGGUCCUGUCUGCCAGGCAGAGGGCUUCCUGGGUAAUCAAAGCCAACUGCAGGCUUGUGG